UCCAGGGCAGAUCUUCCGGGCGACUCGCCCCGUGUUAGAAAUAGGAAAAUACAAUAAUAAAACAAGAAAGACAGAAAAAUGAGGCAACUUUGAUCACGCAUUCCCUCAUAACGUCCAUCCUAAACACACAUUUCCCUUUAGUUGGAAAGUCAUCGAAAGGCACCGAAGUGCAGGAGCCGUCAUCGGAGACCAGCGUCUACCAGAGUGCUCCUCAGCGGGGAUGAGAAGAGGACAGAGUGCUUAGCGCUUUGGUGACGGUCCAGCUAAGGGACUCUCUGCCGGGGAAGAACACCGUGGGAGGGAAUGACAACUCUACUGUACUCGGAAAACUCAGGAGUUAUGUUCCCUCACUCAAGAUUCCUCCAGGGCAGAUGUAAGGUGG